GUCUCCAUCACAAACAGAACCAAGUCUCUGAAGGGGAAAAGGACUGCAGAUUAUAUGAUCUUGAUCCUCUGUGUUCAAAUGGAGAAACAGAAAGCACGACUGAAUGUGGAGUGCCAAGUCUUCAGCACUAAGACCGUCAUGGUGUUUGGGAAGAUGAUUUAAUGGACAGGUGAAACAUUAAGAAUAAUGAGUCAAGGAACGGGGGAAAGGAGAAACUACCUUGGAAACAAUAAACAGAUGGCAGAAAGAGGAAGAUAAAUUUGUUGGGACAAAUGAAGAGAGAAAAUUAACCAAAAAACAAACCAAAACAAAACAAAACAAAAAAGCUGAACGUGCUAAAAUAAAAAAUGAUGACUAAAAUAAGCCAGAAGAAAAAAGUCUAUAAUUAAAAGCCUUAUAAUUAAAUAUAUUCAAAUUAAACAGAACUAAGACAUGGAACGCUAAGAAAAAUACCCACAUACAUGCAUAUAUGCUUCAGUGAAUGUUCAUGUAUAGAUAUAUUGCACAUGUGUCUAUUACU